GAUUAAGUUAUUAAGGGCGCACGGUGGAUGCCUUGGCACUAGAAGCCGAUGAAGGACGUUACUAACGACGAUAUGCUUUGGGGAGCUGUAAGUAAGCUUUGAUCCAGAGAUUUCCGAAUGGGGAAACCCAGCAUGAGUUAUGUCAUGUUAUCGAUAUGUGAAUACAUAGCAUAUCAGAAGGCACACCCGGAGAACUGAAACAUCUUAGUACCCGGAGGAAGAGAAAGAAAAUUCGAUUCCCUUAGUAGCGGCGAGCGAAACGGGAAGAGCCCAAACCAACAAGCUUGCUUGUUGGGGUUGUAGGACACUCUAUACGGAGUUACAAAGGACGACAUUAGACGAAUCAUCUGGAAAGAUGAAUCAAAGAAGGUAAUAAUCCUGUAGUCGAAAAUGUUGUCUCUCUUGAGUGGAUCCUGAGUACGACGGAGCACGUGAAAUUCCGUCGGAAUCUGGGAGGACCAUCUCCUAAGGCUAAAUACUCUCUAGUGACCGAUAGUGAACCAGUACCGUGAGGGAAAGGUGAAAAGCACCCCGGAAGGGGAGUGAAAUAGAACCUGAAACCGUGUGCUUACAAGUAGUCAGAGCCCGUUAAUGGGUGAUGGCGUGCCUUUUGUAGAAUGAACCGGCGAGUUACGAUUUGAUGCAAGGUUAAGCAGUAAAUGUGGAGCCGUAGCGAAAGCGAGUCUGAAUAGGGCGUUUAGUAUUUGGUCGUAGACCCGAAACCAGGUGAUCUACCCUUGGUCAGGUUGAAGUUCAGGUAACACUGAAUGGAGGACCGAACCGACUUACGUUGAAAAGUGAGCGGAUGAACUGAGGGUAGCGGAGAAAUUCCAAUCGAACCUGGAGAUAGCUGGUUCUCUCCGAAAUAGCUUUAGGGCUAGCCUCAAGUGAUGAUUAUUGGAGGUAGAGCACUGUUUGGACGAGGGGCCCCUCUCGGGUUACCGAAUUCAGACAAACUCCGAAUGCCAAUUAAUUUAACUUGGGAGUCAGAACAUGGGUGAUAAGGUCCGUGUUCGAAAGGGAAACAGCCCAGACCACCAGCUAAGGUCCCAAAAUAUAUGUUAAGUGGAAAAGGAUGUGGCGUUGCCCAGACAACUAGGAUGUUGGCUUAGAAGCAGCCAUCAUUUAAAGAGUGCGUAAUAGCUCACUAGUCGAGUGACACUGCGCCGAAAAUGUACCGGGGCUAAACAUAUUACCGAAGCUGUGGAUUGUCCUUUGGACAAUGGUAGGAGAGCGUUCUAAGGGCGUUGAAGCAUGAUCGUAAGGACAUGUGGAGCGCUUAGAAGUGAGAAUGCCGGUGUGAGUAGCGAAAGACGGGUGAGAAUCCCGUCCACCGAUUGACUAAGGUUUCCAGAGGAAGGCUCGUCCGCUCUGGGUUAGUCGGGUCCUAAGCUGAGGCCGACAGGCGUAGGCGAUGGAUAACAGGUUGAUAUUCCUGUACCACCUAUAAUCGUUUUAAUCGAUGGGGGGACGCAGUAGGAUAGGCGAAGCGUGCGAUUGGAUUGCACGUCUAAGCAGUAAGGCUGAGUAUUAGGCAAAUCCGGUACUCGUUAAGGCUGAGCUGUGAUGGGGAGAAGACAUUGUGUCUUCGAGUCGUUGAUUUCACACUGCCGAGAAAAGCCUCUAGAUAGAAAAUAGGUGCCCGUACCGCAAACCGACACAGGUAGUCAAGAUGAGAAUUCUAAGGUGAGCGAGCGAACUCUCGUUAAGGAACUCGGCAAAAUGACCCCGUAACUUCGGGAGAAGGGGUGCUCUUUAGGGUUAACGCCCAGAAGAGCCGCAGUGAAUAGGCCCAAGCGACUGUUUAUCAAAAACACAGGUCUCUGCUAAACCGUAAGGUGAUGUAUAGGGGCUGACGCCUGCCCGGUGCUGGAAGGUUAAGAGGAGUGGUUAGCUUCUGCGAAGCUACGAAUC
rnacentral:rRNA from 1 species